rnacentral:rRNA from 1 species
AUUGAACGCUGGCGGCAGGCCUAACACAUGCAAGUCGAGCGGAUGAAGGGAGCUUGCUCCUGGAUUCAGCGGCGGACGGGUGAGUAAUGCCUAGGAAUCUGCCUGGUAGUGGGGGAUAACGUCCGGAAACGGGCGCUAAUACCGCAUACGUCCUGAGGGAGAAAGUGGGGGAUCUUCGGACCUCACGCUAUCGGAUGAGCCUAGGUCAGAUUAGCUAGUUGGUGGGGUAAAGGCCUACCAAGGCGACGAUCCGUAACUGGUCUGAGAGGAUGAUCAGCCACACUGGAACUGAGACACGGUCCAGACUCCUACGGGAGGCAGCAGUGGGGAAUAUUGGACAAUGGGCGAAAGCCUGAUCCAGCCAUGCCGCGUGUGUGAAGAAGGUCUUCGGAUUGUAAAGCACUUUAAGUUGGGAGGAAGGGCAGUAAGUUAAUACCUUGCUGUUUUGACGUUACCAACAGAAUAAGCACCGGCUAACUUCGUG